rnacentral:rRNA from 1 species
UAGAUUAAGUUAUUAAGGGCGCACGGUGGAUGCCUUGGCACUAGAAGCCGAUGAAGGACGUUACUAACGACGAUAUGCUUUGGGGAGCUGUAAGUAAGCUUUGAUCCAGAGAUUUCCGAAUGGGGAAACCCAGCAUGAGUUAUGUCAUGUUAUCGAUAUGUGAAUACAUAGCAUAUCAGAAGGCACACCCGGAGAACUGAAACAUCUUAGUACCCGGAGGAAGAGAAAGAAAAUUCGAUUCCCUUAGUAGCGGCGAGCGAAACGGGAAGAGCCCAAACCAACAAGCUUGCUUGUUGGGGUUGUAGGACACUCUAUACGGAGUUACAAAGGACGACAUUAGACGAAUCAUCUGGAAAGAUGAAUCAAAGAAGGUAAUAAUCCUGUAGUCGAAAAUGUUGUCUCUCUUGAGUGGAUCCUGAGUACGACGGAGCACGUGAAAUUCCGUCGGAAUCUGGGAGGACCAUCUCCUAAGGCUAAAUACUCUCUAGUGACCGAUAGUGAACCAGUACCGUGAGGGAAAGGUGAAAAGCACCCCGGAAGGGGAGUGAAAUAGAACCUGAAACCGUGUGCUUACAAGUAGUCAGAGCCCGUUAAUGGGUGAUGGCGUGCCUUUUGUAGAAUGAACCGGCGAGUUACGAUUUGAUGCAAGGUUAAGCAGUAAAUGUGGAGCCGUAGCGAAAGCGAGUCUGAAUAGGGCGUUUAGUAUUUGGUCGUAGACCCGAAACCAGGUGAUCUACCCUUGGUCAGGUUGAAGUUCAGGUAACACUGAAUGGAGGACCGAACCGACUUACGUUGAAAAGUGAGCGGAUGAACUGAGGGUAGCGGAGAAAUUCCAAUCGAACCUGGAGAUAGCUGGUUCUCUCCGAAAUAGCUUUAGGGCUAGCCUCAAGUGAUGAUUAUUGGAGGUAGAGCACUGUUUGGACGAGGGGCCCCUCUCGGGUUACCGAAUUCAGACAAACUCCGAAUGCCAAUUAAUUUAACUUGGGAGUCAGAACAUGGGUGAUAAGGUCCGUGUUCGAAAGGGAAACAGCCCAGACCACCAGCUAAGGUCCCAAAAUAUAUGUUAAGUGGAAAAGGAUGUGGCGUUGCCCAGACAACUAGGAUGUUGGCUUAGAAGCAGCCAUCAUUUAAAGAGUGCGUAAUAGCUCACUAGUCGAGUGACACUGCGCCGAAAAUGUACCGGGGCUAAACAUAUUACCGAAGCUGUGGAUUGUCCUUUGGACAAUGGUAGGAGAGCGUUCUAAGGGCGUUGAAGCAUGAUCGUAAGGACAUGUGGAGCGCUUAGAAGUGAGAAUGCCGGUGUGAGUAGCGAAAGACGGGUGAGAAUCCCGUCCACCGAUUGACUAAGGUUUCCAGAGGAAGGCUCGUCCGCUCUGGGUUAGUCGGGUCCUAAGCUGAGGCCGACAGGCGUAGGCGAUGGAUAACAGGUUGAUAUUCCUGUACCACCUAUAAUCGUUUUAAUCGAUGGGGGGACGCAGUAGGAUAGGCGAAGCGUGCGAUUGGAUUGCACGUCUAAGCAGUAAGGCUGAGUAUUAGGCAAAUCCGGUACUCGUUAAGGCUGAGCUGUGAUGGGGAGAAGACAUUGUGUCUUCGAGUCGUUGAUUUCACACUGCCGAGAAAAGCCUCUAGAUAGAAAAUAGGUGCCCGUACCGCAAACCGACACAGGUAGUCAAGAUGAGAAUUCUAAGGUGAGCGAGCGAACUCUCGUUAAGGAACUCGGCAAAAUGACCCCGUAACUUCGGGAGAAGGGGUGCUCUUUAGGGUUAACGCCCAGAAGAGCCGCAGUGAAUAGGCCCAAGCGACUGUUUAUCAAAAACACAGGUCUCUGCUAAACCGUAAGGUGAUGUAUAGGGGCUGACGCCUGCCCGGUGCUGGAAGGUUAAGAGGAGUGGUUAGCUUCUGCGAAGCUACGAAUCGAAGCCCCAGUAAACGGCGGCCGUAACUAUAACGGUCCUAAGGUAGCGAAAUUCCUUGUCGGGUAAGUUCCGACCCGCACGAAAGGCGUAACGAUUUGGGCACUGUCUCAACGAGAGACUCGGUGAAAUCAUAGUACCUGUGAAGAUGCAGGUUACCCGCGACAGGACGGAAAGACCCCGUGGAGCUUUACUGUAGCCUGAUAUUGAAAUUCGGCACAGCUUGUACAGGAUAGGUAGGAGCCUUUGAAACGUGAGCGCUAGCUUACGUGGAGGCGCUGGUGGGAUACUACCCUAGCUGUGUUGGCUUUCUAACCCGCACCACUUAUCGUGGUGGGAGACAGUGUCAGGCGGGCAGUUUGACUGGGGCGGUCGCCUCCUAAAAGGUAACGGAGGCGCUCAAAGGUUCCCUCAGAAUGGUUGGAAAUCAUUCAUAGAGUGUAAAGGCAUAAGGGAGCUUGACUGCGAGACCUACAAGUCGAGCAGGGUCGAAAGACGGACUUAGUGAUCCGGUGGUUCCGCAUGGAAGGGCCAUCGCUCAACGGAUAAAAGCUACCCCGGGGAUAACAGGCUUAUCUCCCCCAAGAGUUCACAUCGACGGGGAGGUUUGGCACCUCGAUGUCGGCUCAUCGCAUCCUGGGGCUGUAGUCGGUCCCAAGGGUUGGGCUGUUCGCCCAUUAAAGCGGUACGCGAGCUGGGUUCAGAACGUCGUGAGACAGUUCGGUCCCUAUCCGUCGUGGGCGUAGGAAAUUUGAGAGGAGC